AAAAAUAUGUUAAAAUAAAGUUUUUGCGCUUGCUUGAGGUGGUGUUUGCCUUUUUUGAAAAAGAGUUGCGCAAAAUGGGAGAUGGAAACAGCUUUGCCGAAUGAGUUGUGACGUAGCGAACAAGUAACUCAGAUGACUAUGGUCCCGGUAGCCAUCGGAUGGAGGAAGGAUCAGGAUAUGGGUCCCAUCCAGUGCAUUGUGCACUUGUGGUACUAGGUGCAUAGUGGAG